GACGUAGGGCGCGAGCGUUGUCCGGAUUUAUUGGGCGUAAAGAGCUCGUAGGCGGUUCGGUAAGUCGGGUGUGAAACCUCCAGGCUCAACCUGGAGACGCCACCCGAUACUGCUGUGACUAGAGUCCGGUAGGGGAGCGUGGAAUUCCUGGUGUAGCGGUGAAAUGCGCAGAUAUCAGGAGGAACACCAGCGGCGAAGGCGGCGCUCUGGGGCCGGAACUGACGCUGAGGAGCGAAAGCGUGGGGGAGCAAACAGG
rnacentral:rRNA from 1 species